rnacentral:tRNA from 1 species
GGUUGAGUAGCCUAAAAAAGGUGUGACAUUGAAGCUGUUAAGAUGGUGUUCUACGCCCCUGCCCA